CCUACGGGUGGCAGCAGUGGGGAAUAUUGCACAAUGGGCGCAAGCCUGAUGCAGCCAUGCCGCGUGUGUGAAGAAGGCCUUCGGGUUGUAAAGCACUUUCAGCGGGGAGGAAGGCGGUAAGGUUAAUAACCUCAUCGAUUGACGUUACCCGCAGAAGAAGCACCGGCUAACUCCGUGCCAGCAGCCGCGGUAAUACGGAGGGUGCAAGCGUUAAUCGGAAUUACUGGGCGUAAAGCGCACGCAGGCGGUCUGUCAAGUCGGAUGUGAAAUCCCCGGGCUCAACCUGGGAACUGCAUUCGAAACUGGCAGGCUAGAGUCUGGGAGAGGGGGGUAGCAUUCCAGGUGUAGCGGUGAAAUGCGUAGAGAUCUGGAGGAAUAGCGGUGGCGAAGGCGGCCGCUUGGACAAAGACUGACGCUCAGGUGCGAAAGCGUGGGGAGCAAACAGGCUUAGAUACCCCGGGAGUC
rnacentral:rRNA from 1 species